AUAAAGGAAAAGUAUGGCUGUAGGGGAAGGAGGUUCUUUAGAUUCUCCCUUUGAGGCCAACCUGGUAAAGAUGAUCUGGGUAGAAACUUCAGAUAUCAGCUGUAUGUAAGAGGGCAUCUUGAUAAUGCACAGAAAAUUCAUAAAUGGGGAUUGGAAAUAAAUGUUUAAAAACUAAAUGCAAGAUAUCAUUUUUUUGAAGGGGAUGGUCUCACAUGAGUCACCCCACAUUGUCCACUCUCAGCUAACCCCUUACCUUCCCAACUUUUAGAAUGAAUAAUGUCCAUAUGUCUAAAGAAUAGGAAAUCUUUCAAAAGUAAUGAAUACAGCAUUGGAAGAAAUACAUUUCUCAAAUUAUAUGGACAGUUUAAAUAAUAGUUUGAUCUUUUCGGGGCUCAGAUAGGCUUGGGGGAUGCAGAGUUGAGAGGAGGAAGAUAUCCUCUGGCCAGGUUAACUUAGUUCUGUAGCCCAAGCUUGAAGAUACAGAGCACUCUUGCCAAGAAGCUAGAGAAGUAACAGAGUUUGUCAAAACUCUUAGAGAACGGGGAAGAGAGCUACCAAUUGCCUUAUAAAGAAAUUGGGACACAGAGAAUGUAAAUGGAGAUGCAGUGGAAUCAGACUCCAGAGUUCCCACUCAAAAACUUUUCUCUCUCUCCUAUCUUGUGAGGAAGGACAUUUUAGGUAUUACUUCAUCUAGAAAGGAAUGGCUCUUCAGCGAGGCAAGCAGAACUGGGAAUGCAGAGCCCAGGUUUGCAGCUUCACUUCUGAAGUCAAGCGAUACCAUGAACCCACCAGAAGGAAGAAACUCUGGACACAUCUGAAGGAAUAAACUCCGGACACACCUUCUUUAAGAGCUGUAACACUCACUGCGAGGGUCGGCGGCUUCAUUCUUGAAGUCAGUGAGACCAAGAACCCACCGGAAGGAACCAAUUCUGGACACAUUACCACAGGACCUCUCGGUCUAGUCUUUUAUAGGCAUACCUGCUUCUUGUUCCACCCACCCCCAUACCCAAUACCUGGUAACCACUAGUCUGCUUUCCAUCUCCAUAAUGUCAUUAUUUCAAGAAUGUUAUAUAAAUGGAACGAGAUAGCAUAUAGGCUUCUUAGUUUGCCUGUUGAAAAUACAGCACGAUGCCCUUAAGAUCCAUCCAAGUUGUUGUAUUAUCAAUAGUUUGUCUUAUAUGUGAGUAGUAUUCCACAGUAUGGAGAUUCCUCAGUUUAACUAUUUACUUUUGUGUAGUUUCUAGUUUUUCCAUUAUGAAUAAAGCUGCUAUGAACAUUCUUGUGCAAACUUCUGCAUGAAUAGAAGUUUUCAUUUCUCUAGGAUAGAUGUCCAAGGGUUCAAUUGCUGGAUUGUAUGGUUAGUCUGAUCUUAGUUUUAAAAGAAAUGGUGAAACUAUAUGCUGGAGUGGUUGCAUCAUUUUACCUUCCCACCAGCAAUGUAUAAAUGACACAAUUUCUCUGCCU
rnacentral:lncRNA from 10 species